CUCUGGCAGGAGAUUACAGUUUAUCUGGGAGGUAUGUAUUCAGUUAACAAGCCUAUUCUAAAACUCCUUUUCAGAAAGUUUGCUUACAUCAAAAUUACUGAGAUAACAUAUGCUCCUGUUUCAAGUAAGAUGGAGUAAAUGCAUCCCACUCUAUCUUUCCUACUUAUUGCAACUAUAAAAUGUGCACAGAAUGCAUUAUGCAGCCAUUUGACAACAGUGAAAAGCAAACAAUAGUUGGCAGACUCAGGAAGAAGAUGAGUAUUUGAAGUACUGCCAUAUCAUAGUCCUCAGGCAAUCCUGAAACAAUGGGGCUCACAGGACUAAAUCUCUGAGAAAAGAUAAACUCUUCGGAAUAGAGGAGCAGUGGUCCCAAGAGGACUAAGUAGCAGUGAAAAGGAAGAAAAAAAGAAGACAGUGCCUACUUUCUGAGACAUUUCCAAAUAUCAGUGUGAAAAAGACUACCAGAGGUCAGCAGAACAGAAGAGUUUCUUCCUGCUGAAGGAUUCAUUAUAGAAGAGAAUAAAUGAUUAUCAAGAGGACUGAAAGCAAACUGUCUAUUCUACUGGUUGCCGAGUAUCAAAUAUCAUGGAUGGUCUGGCUUUUGGGAAGGUAGAAAUCUUUCCACAAAGGAGUUUCCAAUAGCUUUCUGUGCUUAUUACGAUGCUAAACAUUGACCCAAAGAAAAUAAGCACUCACUAAAAUUUUACUCUUUUAAAGUAAUCUAAGCAUUUUGUUGCUUCUUGUUAAUUAAAUGUCUUAUAUCCAUGCAUUGUGUUUGCUUGUUUUCUAUAGCCUACUAUUUAUACAUUUAUACUCAUUCCAAUGGACCCAGCUUCUUUGGAUUCACAUUUUACACAGUUUGAUACCGU
rnacentral:lncRNA from 10 species